GACGAACGCUGGCGGCGUGCCUAAUACAUGCAAGUCGAACGCUUCUUUCCUCCCGAGUGCUUGCACUCAAUUGGAAAGAGGAGUGGCGGACGGGUGAGUAACACGUGGGUAACCUACCCAUCAGAGGGGGAUAACACUUGGAAACAGGUGCUAAUACCGCAUAACAGUUUAUGCCGCAUGGCAUAAGAGUGAAAGGCGCUUUCGGGUGUCGUUGAUGGAUGGACCCGCGGUGCAUUAGCUAGUUGGUGAGGUAACGGCUCACCAAGGCCACGAUGCAUAGCCGACCUGAGAAGGUGAUCCGCCACACUGGGACUGAGACACGGCCCAGACUCCUACGGGAGGCAGCAGGAGGGAAUCUUCGGCAAUGGACGAAAGUCUGACCGAGCAACGCCGCGUGAGUGAAGAAGGUUUUCGGAUCGUAAAACUCUGUUGUUAGAGAAGAACAAGGACGUUAGUAACUGAACGUCCCCUGACGGUAUCUAACCAGAAAGCCACGGCUAACUACGUG
rnacentral:rRNA from 1 species